rnacentral:rRNA from 1 species
CGAUACGACCGUACCGCAAACCGACACUGGUGCGCGAGAUGAGUAUUCUAAGGCGCUUGAGAGAACUCAGGAGAAGGAACUCGGCAAAUUGACACCGUAACUUCGGAAGAAGGUGUGCCCUAUUAGUGUGUAGUGAACAACGAAGCAUGAAUGGGUUGCAAAAAAUCGGUGGCUGCGACUGUUUAUUAAAAACACAGCACUCUGCAAACACGAAAGUGGACGUAUAGGGUGUGACGCCUGCCCGGUGCUGGAAGAUUAAAGGAUGGGGUGCAAGCUCUUGAUUGAAGUCCCAGUAAACGGCGGCCGUAACAAUAACGGUCCUAAGGUGGCGAAAUUCCUUGUCGGGUAAGUUCCGACCUGCACGAAUGGCGUAACGAUGGCCACACUGUCUCCUCCUGAGACUCAGCGAAGUUGAAAUGUUUGUGAUGAUGCAAUCUCCCCGCGGAAAGACGGAAAGACCCCAUGAACCUUUACUGUAGCUUUGUAUUGGACUUUGAACAGAUCUGUGUAGGAUAGGUGGGAGGCUUUGAAGCAGGGUCGCUAGAUCUUGUGGAGCCAACGUUGAAAUACCACCCUGGUGUGUUUGAGGUUCUAACCUAGGUCCAUUAUCUGGAUCGGGGACAGUGCAUGGUAGGCAGUUUGACUGGGGCGGUCUCCUCCCAAAGCGUAACGGAGGAGUUCGAAGGUACGCUAGUUACGGUCGGACAUCGUGACGAUAGUGCAAUGGCAUAAGCGUGCUUAACUGCGAGACUGACAAGUCGAGCAGAUGCGAAAGCAGGACAUAGUGAUCCGGUGGUUCUGUAUGGAAGGGCCAUCGCUCAACGGAUAAAAGGUACUCUGGGGAUAACAGGCUGAUACCGCCCAAGAGUUCAUAUCGACGGCGGUGUUUGGCACCUCGAUGUCGGCUCAUCUCAUCCUGGGGCUGUAGCCGGUCCCAAGGGUAUGGCUGUUCGCCAUUUAAAGAGGUACGUGAGCUGGGUUUAAAACGUCGUGAGACAGUUUGGUCCCUAUCUUCCGUGGGCGCUGCAGAUUUGAGGAAGCCUGCUCCUAGUACGAGAGGACCGGAGUGGACACACCUCUGGUGUAUCGGUUGUCACGCCAGUGGCAUUGCCGAGUAGCUAAGUGUGGAAGAGAUAACCGCUGAAAGCAUCUAAGCGGGAAACUCGUUUCAAGAUGAGAUCUGCCGGGGCCUUGAGCCCCCUAAAGAGUCGUUCAAGACCAGGACGUUGAUAGGUCAGGUGUGGAAGC